GUGGUGGCUCAGAGGUUAAGAGCACUGGCUGCUCUUCCAGAGGUCCUGAGUUCAAUUCCCAGCAACCACA
rnacentral:tRNA from 1 species